UACGUAGGGUGCAAGCGUUGUCCGGAAUUAUUGGGCGUAAAGAGCUCGUAGGCGGUUUGUCGCGUCGGCUGUGAAAACUCGGGGCUCAACCCCGAGCCUGCAGUCGAUACGGGCAGACUAGAGUGCUGUAGGGGAGACUGGAAUUCCUGGUGUAGCGGGGAAAUGCGCAGAUAUCAGGAGGAACACCGGUGGCGAAGGCGGGUCUCUGGGCCGUAACUGACGCUGAGGAGCGAAAGCGUGGGGAGCGAACAGG
rnacentral:rRNA from 1 species